AUAUUAAAUACAACGAUGGUAAUAUCAAUGUGAGUUAGUUUGUGAUAUAU
rnacentral:guide_RNA from 1 species